CGCCUCGACUCGAGUUUCCGCUGUAGGAUUGAGUGAGGUGACGAGAGCUGAAGCCAAGGUUCCUUGCUACGCUCCAUAGAUGUUCGUACGAUUCUUGUGGAUUUUGGGUGUGUUUGAAUUCAGCCUCUCGUUAGGUCUUCACUGAAGGAUUGUCCACCUUCUCAAGCCUCUCUACCAUACCCUUAGAAAGUGACAACGGAUGACUUCCAUUACUAAAUGGAAGAACUUUUCAAACUAGUUGAUAGUUGUUCCCUGGUUGCACCCCACAAUGGGUUCUAAUUUACUAAAUCACAUGUUUCUGUUUUCGGAACAUCACAUGUAGAGUUUUUUGGGGGAGAAUCACUCGGCGCGGGGCCUCCCGUGUGAGGUCAGGUGAUGGUCAACAACUCAGGCAGGAAAUGCUGAAAAGCGGCUAACGAUGCAAGAGCUCUUUUCCCCUUAUACGCUCUAAAAAAAGGGUAUGUCGGGUUUUUGGACCCUAUGUUGAGUAAGGGUUCCAAACCUUCCAAAAGUGAUAGGUAUGUGUUGUUUCUUGGCACUCUCUUUCUAUAUUAUGCCAACCUAAAAAGAGCGAUGGAAAGUGGAUUUCAGGUUCGAUAGUCUCGAGAAGGUAUUAGCCACCGGUGACCAUACUUUCGUAAAAGCACCAUUGGGCGGUGGUUCCUCUCCUUCCUCUUGAACCUCGAACAAAAAAUCGAUCUCGCCAUCAGCUCGACUAAGAGUUCCGAAUCGAAAAAGGAAACUGAACUUGACUUAA
rnacentral:lncRNA from 1 species